AUGUUGACAUAAUCCUGGCACGCCUGAAGAAUGUGAAGGCCUUUGAGAGAUUUCACCCCAGUUUGCUGCAGCAGAUAUGCCUGUGUGGAUUUUACGAGUGUUUGGAGAAAGGCAUCACCUUGUUUCGGCAAGGAGAUAUUGGCACCAGCUGGUAUGCUGUCCUCUCAGGUUCACUGGAUGUAAAGGUGUCCGAGACAUCAAGUUAUCAGGAUGCUGUUACUAUAUGCACGCUGGGGACUGGAACAGCCUUUGGGGAGUCAAUACUGGAUAAUACUCCCCGACAUGCUACCA